rnacentral:lncRNA from 1 species
ACACUGGGGAGACUAGAUCGAUAGGGCUGCACAGAGGUGGCACAGUUGUGCCAGAGGGCCAGACUUUGGCAGCGUGUAAGGUCUGAGGACAGGGGCACCGGAGGCCGAGGAUGAGAGGCCAGUGCCUGUUUCCAGGCAGCCAGGGCCUCAGAAACUCCGGCCGGAGCACUCACCCGUCGGUGGAGGCCGUUACCAGGGCCACCUUAUUUGCGAGCGGGUCCCGGCGGGUCAUCCCGGAGCUGGCCAUCCGCACCGAAUUCCAAGCCCGGGCACAGAGGCCUAGCAGCCCCGCCUUGUGCAUGGAUCAGACCAGCAAAAUUCCUUCUCCAAGAAAGUCUGGGUCUAUGUGUGUGACAGCCCACAGGAGGGCAAAUGUUUUGAGACUGCCCAUGGAGGUGAGGCCUGUGGUCGCCAUGGAGUCCACCAGGGGCUAAGUGGUAGCGAGGAGGCUGGACAGUCCCUCAAGCAGUGGUGGAAAUGCAAAGAACUCGGGGCACUCAAGUUCUCCCUAACCACUCUGUCCCCAGGUCUUAGCCGCCAUCUUAGUUCAAUAAAUAUUUGUUGAAUGCAAAA